UACGUAGGGGGCUAGCGUUGUCCGGAAUCAUUGGGCGUAAAGAGCGUGUAGGCGGCUCGGUAAGUCCGCUGUGAAAGUCCAGGGCUCAACCCUGGAAUGCCAGUGGAAACUGCCGAGCUAGAGUCCGGAAGAGGCGAGUGGAAUUUCCGGUGUAGCGGUGAAAUGCGUAGAUAUCGGAAGGAACACCUGUGGCGAAAGCGGCUCACUGGACCACAACUGACGCUGAGGCACGAAAGCUAGGGGAGCAAACAGG
rnacentral:rRNA from 1 species